AAUCAACAUGGACAAGACAAGGGUCUCCGGAAUUGCUGGAUGGUUUGAUGUUCACUUUCGAGGUAGUGUACAGAAUCCGGGGAGCCAGGAAAUUCAGUUGACUACCGCGCCUAGCAUAGAUAAUCCGACACAUUGGGCCCAACAGGUAUUCCUUUUACAACCGCCUGUUAGAGUCAAUGAAGGCGAUGGUAUGGCGGUCUCUUUCAAAAUGGCUCGCUCCGAAG
rnacentral:misc_RNA from 1 species